CUGUCGUAUGAGAGGAGAGAAGGUUAGCACUCUCCUUGACAAAAAUGGAGGGGCAGAAAGUUAGUAAAAUAUUAGU